rnacentral:rRNA from 1 species
UCAGGAUGAACGCUAGCGGCAGGCUUAACACAUGCAAGUCGAGGGGCAACGCGAGUAGCAAUACUUGGCGGCGACCGGCGCAAGGGUGCGUAACGCGUGAGCAACAUGCCCGUAUCAGGGGGAUAAUCCAGGGAAACUUGGUCUAAUACCCCAUAGUAAUUUUGUAAGGCAUCUUAUAAGAUUUAAAGCUUUGGUGGAUACGGAUUGGCUCGCGUGACAUUAGCUGGAUGGUAAGGUAACGGCUUACCAUGGCUAUGAUGUCUAGGGGUUCUGAGAGGAAGGUCCCCCACACUGGAACUGAGACACGGUCCAGACUCCUACGGGAGGCAGCAGUGAGGAAUAUUGGACAAUGGAUGGAAAUCUGAUCCAGCCAUGCCGCGUGAAGGAAAAGAAGGUCCUAUGGAUUGUAAACUUCUUUUGUAUGGGAGCAAUAAGGCCUACGUGUAGGUUGAUGAGAGUACCAUACGAAUAAGCACCGGCUAACUCCGUGCCAGCCGCAGC